GGGAAAACGUCGUCCGAGUUAAUCAAGCUUCACGAGCAGCGAAGCCGGAGAUCGAUGCUGCCACUGAAAUCUCUCAAUAAAUUAAAGCUCAAGGAACUGUGAACAGUGACACUCUAGGCUGCUUCAUUGGGAGAGUGUAUCUUCUCCUAGUCAGUCUUGGCAUUGACAACGCCAAGAAAAUGAAAUGGUCCGUUAUGCUGCAGAGUUCAUAUGGGUGGAAUGGAUUGAAUGUGUUGGGAUUGUGGAUAGGUCUGCAUAUGACUGAUGUGCCCGUUCGAAAUUUGUGGUUACUCCUGUGAAGAGAGAAACGGGGCUUUGCAUUCAAGGGAAAUUGAAAGAGUGUGGUUGAGUCGUUUGAGGUGAUGAAUGAGCAAGAAGCUAUGGAGAUAAAAGCAACCUUGGAAGAAUACAAAGGGGAAGUUGAUUUUUGUGUGUGUAGUACCCUAAAGAACAAGGUGAGCAUCAAGAAGAAUAUGGUGUCAAUCUCAAAAGAGAAAAAGAAAGAGCACCAACGGGUUUUUACUCCGUCAAUGAUUGAACCAUCAUUUGGGAUCUGGUCGGAUCAUUUACUGUUUGUACGAGCAUUGUUUCAGAACAGGGCCAAGCAAAGCAGGGGAUGAACAGUUGAAUGUUUUCUGUUUCCUCAACCAAAGUUAUUUCCAAGGAACUCGCUUCGGGUUGGCAUCUCACAUGAAAUUUACAUCACUAGUACGUAAACAGAAUUACAAGUUCUUAAAAUCUUGAAAUGGAGC